GCAGGGAUAGCCAAGCUGGCCAACGGCGCGGGACUUAAGAUCCUGUCCUGAAGAGGUUCGGGGGUUCGAAUCCCUCUCCCUGCA
rnacentral:tRNA from 1 species